rnacentral:lncRNA from 12 species
GGUUAAAUUUUCUUUUAUUUUAAAGAAUUCCAGAGGUUUGAAGAUGCUUGUAAACCAUCCCAGCAAGAAGACUGGGAGAAGAGUAUUCUCUGGGUCAGAAUAUUGCCCUACAGCUCCAGGGAGAAAUCCUGAGGGAGAGAGAAGUGAAGAGCUACAGUCUCCAGCAGCCUCAGCUGAGAGAUACAGAGAGCCCUGAGCAUGAAACUUUGCUGCAGACCUGGAGAAAGAUGGAUCUGUUCCAUAUCCCACCCAGCUGGAGAAGGGGAGGCACUCAGCCUUUGGACAUGGCCAGAGUAUUAAUUAAAUUGGAGGACUCAAGAGCCUGUCUGGAAGGGGUUCUGGAUGGAGAGGAGAUGCAAACCCAGAAGACCAGCAUGAAAUGCAGCCAGAUGUUCUUCUGAAAUGGUGCUGCCUGAAGGAAACAGCAGAGCUGGAGGCUUCUGUUGAGUGGGUGAUGUAUGAAAGGAGCUUGUGGCAGUGAGUUAGGAUGGAGCACAACUCACAAAUAAAAGGGAAACAGAUUUUCAGUGUCUCUGUGCCAUGGUUUAGAUAAUGUGUUUUAGUGAUAAAACUGGUGUUUAUAGAAAAAUCCCCAAAUCUAACC